ACCUCUUUUGAGCUCUGAUUUUGAAGAUGUCGACAAGCAGGAAGCAAUGUUCUAUCGCAGUGUUGCUGCUGCUGGUGCUCGUCCAACUCAUCGGUGCUCUCGCUCGACCUCCAUGCGAUUAUCUUCGUCCAGGAACCUGUCACUAUAACAAACCAUGAGGUGAAGCUGGAAAAUUGCGUGGAUGCUGCUUCGUUGGGUUAUAUUGCCUUACUAGAUUAUUCGGUUUCUUUAUAGAAAUAUCCGUACUGUUCAGUUUGUUGGCAAUCUGAAAUAUGUAAAAUUUAAAAUCU